rnacentral:rRNA from 1 species
UGCAGUCGAGCGGACCGACGGGAGCUUGCUCCCUUAGGUCAGCGGCGGACGGGUGAGUAACACGUGGGUAACCUGCCUGUAAGACUGGGAUAACUCCGGGAAACCGGGGCUAAUACCGGAUGCUUGAUUGAACCGCAUGGUUCAAUCAUAAAAGGUGGCUUUUAGCUACCACUUGCAGAUGGACCCGCGGCGCAUUAGCUAGUUGGUGAGGUAACGGCUCACCAAGGCGACGAUGCGUAGCCGACCUGAGAGGGUGAUCGGCCACACUGGGACUGAGACACGGCCCAGACUCCUACGGGAGGCAGCAGUAGGGAAUCUUCCGCAAUGGACGAAAGUCUGACGGAGCAACGCCGCGUGAGUGAUGAAGGUUUUCGGAUCGUAAAACUCUGUUGUUAGGGAAGAACAAGUACCGUUCGAAUAGGGCGGCACCUUGACGGUACCUAACCAGAAAGCCACGGCUAACUACGUGCCAGCAGCCGCGGUAAUACGUAGGUGGCAAGCGUUGUCCGGAAUUAUUGGGCGUAAAGCGCGCGCAGGCGGUUUCUUAAGUCUGAUGUGAAAGCCCCCGGCUCAACCGGGGAGGGUCAUUGGAAACUGGGGAACUUGAGUGCAGAAGAGGAGAGUGGAAUUCCACGUGUAGCGGUGAAAUGCGUAGAGAUGUGGAGGAACACCAGUGGCGAAGGCGACUCUCUGGUCUGUAACUGACGCUGAGGCGCGAAAGCGUGGGGAGCGAACAGGAUUAGAUACCCUGGUAGUCCACGCCGUAAACGAUGAGUGCUAAGUGUUAGAGGGUUUCCGCCCUUUAGUGCUGCAGCAAACGCAUUAAGCACUCCGCCUGGGGAGUACGGUCGCAAGACUGAAACUCAAAGGAAUUGACGGGGGCCCGCACAAGCGGUGGAGCAUGUGGUUUAAUUCGAAGCAACGCGAAGAACCUUACCAGGUCUUGACAUCCUCUGACAACCCUAGAGAUAGGGCUUCCCCUUCGGGGGCAGAGUGACAGGUGGUGCAUGGUUGUCGUCAGCUCGUGUCGUGAGAUGUUGGGUUAAGUCCCGCAACGAGCGCAACCCUUGAUCUUAGUUGCCAGCAUUCAGUUGGGCACUCUAAGGUGACUGCCGGUGACAACCCGGAGGAA